AGCAGCCGCGGUAAUUCCAGCUCCAAUAGCGUAUAUUAAAGUUGUUGCAGUUAAAAAGCUCGUAGUUGAAUUUCGGGAUCAAUUAAUUGGUCGUGCCUCUGGUACGUACUGAUUUUAUUGGUUUCUCCCUUCUGACGAACCAUGAUGUCAUUAAUUUGGUGUCGUGAAGAAUCAGGACUGUUACUUUGAAAAAUUAGAGUGUUUAAAGCAAGCUAACGCUUGAAUACAUUAGCAUGGAAUAAUGAAAUAGGACGUUUGAUCCUAUUUUGUUGGUUUCUAGGAUCGACGUAAUGAUUAAUAGGGAUAGUUGGGGGCAUUAGUAUUCAAUUGUCAGAGGUGAAAUUCUUGGAUUUAUUGAAGACUAACUACUGCGAAAGCAUUUGCCAAGGAUGUUUUCAUUAAUCAAGAACGAAAGUUAGGGGAUCGAAGACGAUCAGAUACCGUCGUAGUCUUAACCAUAAACUAUGCCGACUAGGGAUCGGAUGAUGUUAAUUUUUAAUGUACUCA
rnacentral:rRNA from 1 species